GCCGCACCAGCGCAGAAUAGAACAGGACAGUCACUUCCCUCAACCGACUAGCAAUGCCGUGCUUGAUGCACCCUGGAGUACGGCUGGCCCUCCUGGCUGCCAGGGCACACUAUCAUUUCAUGAUAAUAGAUGUGUGAUGUAUGAUCUACAUAAUGUGAAGUGUUCCAUGAUCCCCGAAUUCAGUCCCUCUGCCAGCUGUUUGUUCUCUUCAAAGGUGCCUGACUUUCUCUGUAUUUAAUUAAAAUAUUUGAAUUUAUUUAGGUAUAAGUGUUUUUUCAUGAUAUCUUCCUUUUUCUGGGGGGGUGGGGUGGCGGGAAGGGAUACAUGGGGCUUGAGCAGAAAACCAAAAUGCAUUCAUUAGACUUAAUUUCCAUCUGAUUUAUUAUCUUCUCUUAGUAGCUGAGUAAUUAUUUGUGUCUGUGAGAAUCUUGUACAGAGAUAGAAUCAGCUUUUUUCAAACCUUAUGUGGAAGUUAUAUUUUGAUGAUUGCAGAUAUUAAUUCAGGGCACAUAGCAAGAGAACUCCUGGAUAAAAUGCAACUUUUACAUAGCUGACUCUAGUAGCAUAACUACUUCAUUUAAGUGAAAUUAAGGAUACAGAAAUAAUUUCUCAAUGAACUAAAUAAUGUCUUUUUUGUAAAAGAAUAUUAAUUGCAGCUAAACAGGCUUGAGACUUCAAGAAACUAAAUUUAAUGUUUGACUGCAAGCUUCUGUGAUAUGUGAACUGUAGAUUUGACAUGAAAUAGAAGUGUUUUGAUAAAACAAUUACUUUUAUUAUAUUCCAGAAACAUUCUCUAUAGGAUUUGAGCUCAAAACUGGAAUUAUUAUUAGAAAAUUGCAAAUUUAUUCUUUAACUUUGGAGGAUGAAUAUCCAUGAAGAGGGGAAGUUUACACGUAAUCAUGGUGAAAUGCAUCAUUUACCUCUGAAAUGGAAUAUUAGAAAGGAGAGGGUUCUCUGGUGUGAGAGACAUGCAGCCUGCAAUAAACUCCUCCACAAGUAAGAACUAUAACAAACCUUCUUGGUUGCACUGAGUACAAGGAACUUUAUUUGACCUUGCCUUCUUCAACCUCCAGGCAAAGCCAUGGAUGUCUUUAGGAGAUCUAAGCUAGUUCUUUAGAAGAGACUUAUUCCUGCACGUGCUUUUCUUCCCUGACAAGAAGCUGAAACAGCCGACAUGUGGAGCCAUAAUGCACUGAGGCUUCCUGCAGUAGGAGAGGGUACUCACAAUAAUCUAAAGGGAGGAAAAAAGUGUGUGAUAAUAAAAACGUCCUUGACCUGUGUAAGUGGCUGAAGUUCAGAGAAGACUUAUGAUUUUACGUGGGAAGUGAAAAUGGCAAAAACACUGUGAGGAACCUCAGGAGGAAUCAAGGAGACUGAUGGACCAAACGCUGACACUUAAACGUGCACAGUGCAAAUGAGCAGGGAGAAGGUUGUUAGAAUGACGGUUACUUUUACCAUUCUGUUAAAAUCUCCUAAAUUGCUUUAACAUUUACCUCUGGGUAGACCUUCACCUGUGCUGCCUCCCCUUUCUCAUAUAUUCAUUUGACUGAUUAAUUGGUGCUUUUCAA